UGGCUCAGAGGUUAAGAGCACUGAGUGCUCUUUCAGAGGACCUGGGUUCAAUUCCCAG
rnacentral:tRNA from 1 species